rnacentral:rRNA from 1 species
UACAGAGACUGCAAGCGUUAUUCGGAUUCACUGGGCGUAAAGGGUGCGCAGGUGGCCAAGUGUGUUAGGCGUGAAAGCCCAGGGGCUUAACCCCGGAAUUGCACCUAAAACUACUUGGCUAGAGCAUUGGAGAGGGGAGCAGAAUUCAUGGUGUAGCAGUGAAAUGCGUAGAUAUCAUGAGGAAUACCAGAGGCGAAGGCGGCUCCCUGGACAAUUGCUGACACUCAGGCACGAAAGCGUGGGGAGCAAAAGGG